AUUGAACGCUGGCGGCAUGCUUUACACAUGCAAGUCGAACGGCAGCGCGGGCUUCGGCCUGGCGGCGAGUGGCGAAUGGGUGAGUAAUGCAUCGGAACGUGCCCAGUAGUGGGGGAUAGCCCGGCGAAAGCCGGAUUAAUACCGCAUACGACCUGAGGGUGAAAGCGGGGGACCGAAAGGCCUCGCGCUAUUGGAGCGGCCGAUGUCGGAUUAGCUAGUUGGUGGGGUAAAGGCUUACCAAGGCGACGAUCCGUAGCUGGUCUGAGAGGACGACCAGCCACACUGGGACUGAGACACGGCCCAGACUCCUACGGGAGGCAGCAGUGGGGAAUUUUGGACAAUGGGGGCAACCCUGAUCCAGCCAUGCCGCGUGCGGGAAGAAGGCCUUCGGGUUGUAAACCGCUUUUGUUCGGGAAGAAAUCCUCUGGGCUAAUACCCCGGGGGGAUGACGGUACCGGAAGAAUAAGCACCGGCUAACUACGUG
rnacentral:rRNA from 1 species